CAGCCGUAAACUAUGCGCGUUAGGUGUAUCGGUGACCACGAGUUACCGAGGUGCCGAAGGGAAACCGUGAAACGUGCCGCCUGGGAAGUACGGUCGCAAGGCUGAAACUUAAAGGAAUUGGCGGGGGAGCACCACAACAGGUGGAGCCUGCGGUUUAAUUGGACUCAACGCCGGGAAGCUCACCGGAUAGGACAGCAGAAUGACUGCCGGGCUGAAGACCCUGCAUGACUAGCUGAGAGGAGGUGCAUGGCGUCAGUGACU
rnacentral:rRNA from 1 species